UGGGGAAUUUUCCGCAAUGGGCGAAAGCCUGACGGAGCAAUACCGCGUGAGGGAGGAAGGCUUUUGGGUUGUAAACCUCUUUUCUUAGGGAAGAAGAACUGACGGUACCUAAGGAAUCAGCAUCGGCUAACUCCGUGCCAGCAGCCGCGGUAAUACGGAGGAUGCAAGCGUUGUCCGGAUUUAUUGGGUUUAAAGGGUACGUAGGCGGGCUAGUAAGUCUGAGGUGAAAGCUCUCGGCUCAACCGGGAAAUUGCCUUGGAUACUGCUAGUCUUGAGUACAGUAGAGGUGGGCGGAAUUCAUGGUGUAGCGGUGAAAUGCAUAGAUACCAUGAGGAACACCGAUAGGGAAGCCAGCUCACUGGACUGUUACUGACGCUGAGGUACGAAAGCGUGGGGAGCGAACAGGAUUAGAUACCCGCGUAGUCC
rnacentral:rRNA from 1 species